CCAAUAGCGUAUAUUAAAGUUGUUGCAGUUAAAAAGCUCGUAGUUGAAUUUCGGAAUCAAUAUGUUGGUCGUGCCAUUGGUACGUACUGGCAUUAUUGGUUUCUACCUUCUGAAGAACCUCGAUGUCAUUAAUUUGGUGUCUUGGGGAAUCAGGACUGUUACUUUGAAAAAAUUAGAGUGUUUAAAGCAGGCUCGCGCUUGAAUACAUUAGCAUGGAAUAAUGAAAUAGGACGUUUGAUUCUAUUUUGUUGGUUUCUAGGAUCGACGUAAUGAUUAAUAGGGAUAGUUGGGGGCAUUAGUAUUCAAUUGUCAGAGGUGAGAUUCUUGGAUUUAUUGAAGACUAACUACUGCGAAAGCAUUUGCCAAGGAUGUUUUCAUUAAUCAAGAACGAAAGUUAGGGGAUCGAAGACGAUCAGAUACCGUCGUAGUCUUAACCAUAAACUAUGCCGACUAGGGAUCGGAUGAUGUUAAUUUUUUAAUGACUCAUUCGGCGCCUUACG
rnacentral:rRNA from 1 species